rnacentral:rRNA from 1 species
GAUGAACGCUAGCGGCAGGCCUAACACAUGCAAGUCGAGGGGGAAGUUACUUUCGGGUGACUGAGACCGGCGUACGGGUGCGUAACGCGUAUACAAUCUGCCUUUCACUGGGGGAUAGCCCGAAGAAAUUUGGAUUAAUACCCCAUAGUAUAUAGGGACGGCAUCGUUUUUAUAUUAAAGCUUAGGUGGUGAAAGAUGAGUAUGCGUUCUAUUAGCUAGUUGGAGAGGUAACGGCUCCCCAAGGCGAUGAUAGAUAGGGGUUCUGAGAGGGAUGUCCCCCACACUGGUACUGAGAUACAGACCAGGCUCCUACGGGAGGCAGCAGUGAGGAAUAUUGGACAAUGGUCGGAAGACUGAUCCAGCCAUGCCGCGUGCAGGAGGAAGGUCUUAUGGAUUGUAAACUGCUUUUGUAAGGGAAGAAUAAGGGCUACGCGUAGUUUGAUGACGGUACCUUACGAAUAAGCAUCGGCUAACUCCGUG